GACAGAGGUGGCGAGCGUUGUUCGGAUUCAUUGGGUGUAAAGGGCAGGUAGGUGGUCAUGUAAGUCCGGUGUGAAAUCCCAGGGCUCAACCCUGGAACUGCAUUGGAAACUACAUGACUUGAGUACCGGAGAGGUGAGGGGAAUUCUCGGUGUAAGGGUGAAAUCUGUAGAUAUCGAGAGGAACACCGAGUGGCGAAGGCGCCUCACUGGCCGGUUACUGACACUGAGCUG
rnacentral:rRNA from 1 species